AGAGGUUUAAAAGAAAAAGGAAAAGAGGAGGCUCAGAAGAAGGCGCAGCUCUAAAGGAAGAGCCGGUGCCGCUCGGAUUUUGAGGUUUUCCUAGGCAAGGAAUAUUCAGAGGUGAUUUUUCCAGUCUUUUCUUCUGCAAUAUACUGUAGACUACAGGACCUGGUAUUCUUUAGCAAUCUCCCAUUCAAGUACAAACCAGGGUUGCUUAGAAUUGCUUGGUAAAACGAGCACGGACUAUCUGUCUCAGCAAGAGCUGAUCUUGUAGCUUGCUAUAAUCUACUUUGUAAGCCCAGGGCUCUGGAAUUAAAUCAGCAAUGGUACAAACUGGGUCUCUAAUGGGAUGGUAUUCCACAAUCAAGAUGCUACAGUACAGAAGGUCUUCUUCCACAUCCUCCAUUAUGAGGAUUCCCCAGCAGACCUCAGUCCUCAGGCAGCAUCCAGAAUCCAAAGCCAGCAUGGCAACAUUUCCAUAUUCUGAGCUGAAGAGUUUGAAUUGGCCUGGGAGAGAUGUUUCAGCAACAAGGCCAGAGAGCCAAAACUUGAGAAAUCACUCAAUGUUAGAAUGGAAGAAAGAUCUGUGAAAGAGAAGUAGAAGACUCCUGAGGCAGCUUACAAGGAGGCUGAAGCCCAUUGAAUGACAGCUGGUGAUGGAGGACUAAGGAGGCAGCUGCUGGACCAUUUGAAGAUGUCACAAGGAGAAGUCCAGUAUACCAUUCCAAGGUUCCAGCAUACUCUUAAAUCUAGUUAGUGGAAAGACUGUAGAUAAAUCACUCAGUGCUGAUGUCAAUUAGAGUUGAGUUUGUUGGUGGGGGAAUUGGUUGUGGGUUGAUUAGGGGUUGGAAUUUUAAUUUCCUUACUAUUUUCUGAUGACAACCAUGGCAGGUUUGAUACUAUCUUACAUCCUUUGUAAGAUCCUUUGUAAGAUACUUUGAAGCACAUAACAAAUAUUUUGGAAGUUAUC